AUUGAACGCUGGCGGCAUGCCUUACACAUGCAAGUCGAACGGUAACAGGUUAAGCUGACGAGUGGCGAACGGGUGAGUAAUGUAUCGGAACGUGCCCAGUCGUGGGGGAUAACUGCUCGAAAGAGCAGCUAAUACCGCAUACGACCUGAGGGUGAAAGCGGAGGAUCGCAAGACCUCGCGCGAUUGGAGCGGCCGAUAUCAGAUUAGGUAGUUGGUGAGGUAAAGGCUCACCAAGCCGACGAUCUGUAGCUGGUCUGAGAGGACGACCAGCCACACUGGGACUGAGACACGGCCCAGACUCCUACGGGAGGCAGCAGUGGGGAAUUUUGGACAAUGGGCGCAAGCCUGAUCCAGCCAUGCCGCGUGCGGGAAGAAGGCCUUCGGGUUGUAAACCGCUUUUGUCAGGGAAGAAAAGGUUCUGGCUAAUACCUGGGACUCAUGACGGUACCUGAAGAAUAAGCACCGGCUAACUACGUG
rnacentral:rRNA from 1 species